CAGAUGCAGAUUUCGGACGACGGGGCUCUCGUCUGCGACCUGCGGACGCCGCGCGCCUACCGGCCCGACGGGAAGCGGGUCGUGACGACGGAUCGGAGGGGAAGUGCGUC